rnacentral:tRNA from 1 species
CGCGGGGUAGAGCAGUUGGCAGCUNNGGUAGCUCGUUGGGCUCAUAACCCAAAGGUCGCUGGUUCGAAUCCAGCCCCCGCAACCA